CUUUGAGGUCUGCUAUGCUCAAGGUACACCCAGUGUGAAAGCCAGUUCACUUCCUGUUGCCUGCAGAUCAAGAUUUAGAACUCUCAGCUCAUUCUCUAGUACCAUGUCUGCCUGCAUGCUAGCAUGUCCCACCAGGAUGGUAUAGGACUGAAAAUGGAAGAGAGAGUCUGGAAAUUAUGCCGGAUGGAUUGAAUGAGAAGUCCUGGCAAGGGGCUGGGCGCUGACAGACGGAGAGAUGCAUGUCUGACAGGGUUUGGACUGUUCACAGCAACUGAGAUGGAGCAAUUAUGCCAGCUUUUUCAACUAACCCAAGCACGCUCUAGUCGUCCCAUCCAGCCUCCAGCCUCACACUGUGCAUGAAUGGUUUCUUAGAGCCUUCAACCAAGCAGCUGAUGGAAGUAGAAGCAGAUACCAACAGCUAAACACUGAACUGAACUGGAAUCCAGUUGCAGAGAAGGAGGAGUGAUGAGCAAAGGGGUCAAGACCUGGCUGGUGAAACCCACAGAAACAGCUGACCUGAACAAGAGGGAGCUCUUGGCCCCGAGACUGAUCACUGGGAAAUCAGCAUGGAACUGAUCCAGACCCCAUGAAUGUAGGAGUCAGUGAGGAGGCCUUGGAAAUCUAUGGGGCCUCUUGUAGUAGAUCAGUACUUAUCCCUAGCAUAGGAAUGGACUUUGGAAGCCCAUCCCACAUAGAGGGAUACUCCCUGAGUCUAGACACAUGGGGGAGGGCCUAGGCCCUAUCCCAAAGCAUAUGACAGACUUUGAAGACCCCCCCCAUGGAAGACCUCACUCUCCUUGGGGAUCAAAAAUGGUGUGGGAUAGGUAGGACGUUAGUG
rnacentral:lncRNA from 1 species